rnacentral:rRNA from 1 species
CAGCAGUGGGGGAAUAUUGCACAAUGGGCGCAAGCCUGAUGCAGCCAUGCCGCGUGUGUGAAGAAGGCCUUCGGGUUGUAAAGUACUUUCAGCAGUGAGGAAGGUUCAUGCGUUAAUAGCGUAUGGAUUUGACGUUAGCUGCAGAAGAAGCACCGGCUAACUCCGUGCCAGCAGCCGCGGUAAUACGGAGGGUGCGAGCGUUAAUCGGAAUUACUGGGCGUAAAGCGCAUGCAGGUGGUUUGUUAAGUCAGAUGUGAAAGCCCGGGGCUCAACCUCGGAAUUGCAUUUGAAACUGGCAGACUAGAGUACUGUAGAGGGGGUAGAAUUUCAGGUGUAGCGGUGAAAUGCGUAGAGAUCUGAAGGAAUACCGGUGGCGAAGGCGGCCCCCUGGACAGAUACUGACACUCAGAUGCGAAAGCGUGGGGAGCAAACAGGAUUAGAUACCCUGGUAG